AUUAGUGGCGAACGGGUGAGUAAUACGUGAGUAACCUACCUUUAACUCUGGGAUAAGCCUGGGAAACUGGGUCUAAUACCGGAUACGACCAAUCUCCGCAUGGGGUGUUGGUGGAAAGCGUUAUGUAGUGGUUAUAGAUGGGCUCACGGCCUAUCAGCUUGUUGGUGAGGUAACGGCUCACCAAGGCGACGACGGGUAGCCGGCCUGAGAGGGUGACCGGCCACACUGGGACUGAGACACGGCCCAA
rnacentral:rRNA from 1 species